GCAUUCAGAGGAUGAGAUGUGAUCGAUCAAAGAUCAAAGACAACUAAACAUGACAAGUUCCCAAGUUCGAGUGAAAGCAGUUAAUCUUGGUGGCUGGCUGGUUACUGAAGGAUGGAUGAAACCUUCUCUAUUCGAUGGAAUUCCAAAUAAAGAAUUAUUGGAUGGAACUGGCCUUCAAUUCAAGUCUGUGACAACAAGGAAAUAUCUCUGUGCAGAGUCUGGUGGAGGAACAAACCUUGUUGCCAAUCGCGACACCCCUUCGGGUUGGGAAACAUUUUCUUUGUGGAGGAUAAACGAAUCUGCAUUCAGAUUCAAGGUGUUCAGCCAGCAGUUUGUGGGGUUAGAUGGGAUUAACGCUGUUGCUGUGACCAACACUCCCACUGAUUCUGCAGUGUUUAAUAUCAUUAAGGAAAGUGACAAUUCAAACCGUGUUAGAAUCAAAGCAUUAAAUGGAUACUUCUUGCAGGCAAAAACAGAGGUGCUGGUGACUGCUGAUGUAUCACAUGUUAGCGGAUGGCGAGAAGAUGACCCAACUGUUUUUGAAAUGAAAAUUACUGGAGGGUUGCAAGGAGAAUUCCAACUCACAAAUGGUUAUGGGCCAAUAGAAGCACCGCAAAUAAUGAAGGAACAUUGGAGCACUUAUAUUGUGGAAGAGGAUUUCAUGUUCAUAGCAAAUAAUGGAUUAAAUGCUGUUAGAAUUCUCGUUGGUUGGUGGAUAGCAAGUGAUCCAACUCCACCAUGGCCUUAUGUUGGGGGUUCCUUGAACACACUUGACAAUGCCUUCUCGUGGGCAGAGAAAUAUAGAUUGAAAAUCAUUAUAAAUCUUCAUGCUGCACCUGCUUCUCAAAAUGGCUUUGAGCAUAGCUCUUCAAGAGAUGGUUCACAAGAAUGGGGAUCAGAUGAAACCAUCCAACAAACUGUUCAAAUUAUAGACUUCCUAACUGCCAGGUAUUAAAACAGACCAAGCCUUUACGCAGUUGAACUUUUAAAUGAGCCUCGCUCACCUGGUGCCACUCUAGAGAGCCUAAACAAGUACUACAAGGCUGGAUAUGAAGCAGUGCGCAAACACUCCUCCACAGCUUAUGUUGUGUUUUCAAAUAGGCUAGGUACCUCAGACCCUAAAGAAUUCUUCAAUGUUGCCAAUGACCUUACACGAUCUGUGAUAGAUGUUCACUACUACAGCCUUUUUGAAGAUUUUUUUAAAACCUUGAAUGCCCAGCAGAACAUUGAUUUCAUUUACAGCGGCCGUCAAUCGGACUUGAAUUCUGUUACAGCUUCAAAUGGUCCUCUGGUAUUUGUAGGUGAAUGGGUUGCUGAGUGGAAACUCGAUGGGGGAACCAAAGAAGAGUUACAAAGAUUCGCCAAGGCCCAGUUAGAUGUUUUUGGGCAAGCAACAUUUGGAUGGGCUUAUUGGAGUUAUAAAAAUUCCAUCAAUCACUGGAGUAUGGAGUGGAUGAUAAAAAAAUGGUUAUAUCAAGCUUUAGAAAGUUGUUGACCAUUGACCAAAAAAAAAAAGAAAGUUGUUGACCGAAAACAAAAUAAAGCUUUAAAAAGUUUGUGAUCAUCAAAUAAAGAGGAGCAUUACAAAGUUUUAUUCUUUUUA